AUGCCCAUAUGCUUGACCUUAGUGUAAUACUCCACUAAUAUUAGAAUGCUAAGAUUAGGAUCAAAUAGGUCUUUUAUGGGUUGUAAUCUAGGCAAAAAGAUGGGUAGGAAGUAUUAUGGCUAGAAAUAGUGACUAUCUUCCCUAAGCACUUUAAUACACUACAUUAUGCAAUUAAGACCAAUCUUUAACAACCAAUUUCCACUUCUGC
rnacentral:lncRNA from 1 species